rnacentral:rRNA from 1 species
GAUGAACGCUAGCGGCAGGCUUAACACAUGCAAGUCGAGGGGCAGCAUGACACGGAGAUUCGUCGAAGUGUUGAUGGCGACCGGCGCAAGGGUGCGUAACGCGUGAGCAACUUGCCCGUUUCAGGGGGAUAACCGGUGGAAACGCCGACUAAUACCCCAUAGCAUCAACUUCAGGCAUCUUUAGUUGAUUAAAGAAAUUCGGAAACGGAUAGGCUCGCGUGACAUUAGCUAGAUGGCGGGGUAACGGCCCACCAUGGCGACGAUGUCCAGGGGUUCUGAGAGGAAGGUCCCCCACACUGGAACUGAGACACGGUCCAGACUCCUACGGGAGGCAGCAGUGAGGAAUAUUGGUCAAUGGUCGAGAGACUGAACCAGCCAUGCCGCGUGAAGGUCACGGCCCUAUGGGUCUUAGACUUCUUUUGUAAGGGAGCAAUAAGUCUCACGUGUGGGAUGAUGAGAGUACCUUACGAAUAAGCAUCGGCUAACUCCGUGCCAGCAGCCGCUGUAAUAC